GAAGAGAUACAUAGGGUGAGAAACGGAGGCCUUCAGCCAACAGCUGGGAGAAGCUGAGUCCCAUCAGCCAUUCAAAAGACUGCAGCCCCAGCCAAGAGUUUGAUGUAACCUCAGGAGAGACCCUGAGCCAGAACCACCUAGAAAAGCUGGGAUACAUGAAGACUGCCAUCCCUUGAGUCACUUGCCCUGUAGCUGCCACUGUUGGAAAAGGGCUUGCUUCUGUGUCCUUGUGCCCACUUUGAAAAUCCCUGGGAAGUCCUUGGAGUCAGAUGAGCAGGCCUCCGCCACUCUGCCAAAAAGUCUGUUCAGAAGUUUCACAUCACUAGAGAAGAGAGAAGAAGGACAUUUGUACUGGGAGGAGUCGACCGGUCCCAGUAAGGAGAAAGUAGCUACAGCGUCAUGGGUGAGCUGGGUCCCCCAAAAAGGAACUUUAAGGGAAUGGACUGAAUCAAGUCUGAGAUGUCCCCAAAGCAAGACCAAAGAACUGAGGAAGAGAAGCAUUCAUCAGAAACCAAAAUUCAGCUACAAGUGAGCAUCCAGAUGGAGGUAUUAUGAAGAGGAACUGAGACUGAGGGCAAAAGGUGCCAGCCAGAAUCCUGGAUAGGAGAGCAAGAACCAGGACCUCAUUUAAGAGACAACCUGCUUAAGGCAGAGUAAGGGUAUUUUUCCUCUGGAAAUGAGCUGACUAGGCACGCUACUUCUACUUGAAAAAGACUGAUGCUUGUCUUACACCAUUUUGAGGUCACCACAGUACAUGACUCAGAAUCAUUAGACAAAUGUUGAUUGAAUAUCUCCUACAUUCCAAAUACUGUGUUGAAUGUGGUUAAAGCAUUAAAUGUUAAUGGAAUAUUUUGUACAGUCAAGAAGUGAUUGCUGUCAUAGAAGAGACACAACACACUGGUAGAACACAGCAAUGAAAUUUGACUUGUGAUGUAUGUCCAGAAAAAGAUAGAUAACACAUUCUCUAAAAGUUUAGAAGAAAUUUUUGUCCCUUGGAUUGUAGUCUUGACUGAUUAAGAAACAGAACAACUUAGUUGAAUACUGAGCAUUGAUUCGCAAUCUAAUGGUGCCUGGGGAUGCCACCUGUUUUCUCGCAAUUAAAAUUUAAAAACAAAAUUAUACAAAGAGCAAUUGGAGUUUAAAACAACUGUAAAGAAAACAAUUAGAACAAAAAUCCAUUAAAUUGAAAAUAGUAAAACAAAGGGAAAAUGAACAUAAUAAAAAACUGUUUUUAUCAAAAGACUAAUAAACAAUUUUGAUUGAAGACACAGGUUACCAACAUCAGAAAUGAAAGAGGAGAUGAUCACCAAUCAUCCUGAGACAUUAAAGGAUAAAAACAGAAUACUAUUUGUAACUCUAUGCCUACAAACUUGACAACUUUCAUGAAAUGGACCAAUUCUAUGAAAGGUACAAACUACCAAAAUUCCCAAGGAGAUAUAACUAAUUUGAAUAAACCUAUUUAUGUUAAUAAAA
ensembl:lncRNA novel transcript